rnacentral:rRNA from 1 species
AUUGAACGCUGGCGGCAGGCCUAACACAUGCAAGUCGAACGGUAACAGGAAGAAGCUUGCUUCUUUGCUGAUGAGUGGCGGACGGGUGAGUAAUGUCUGGGAAACUGCCUGAUGGAGGGGGAUAACUACUGGAAACGGUAGCUAAUACCGCAUAACGUCGCAAGACCAAAAAGGGGGACCUUCGGGCCUCUUGCCAUCGGAUGUGCCCAGAUGGGAUUAGCUAGUAGGUGGGGUAACGGCUCACCUAGGCGACGAUCCCUAGCUGGUCUGCGAGGAUGACCGGCCACACUGGAACUGAGACACGGCCCAGACUCUUACGGGAGGCGGCAGUGGGGAAUAUUGGACAAUGGGCGCAAGCCUGAUGCAGCAAGGCCGCGGGUAUGAGGAAGGCCUUCGGUUUGUAAAGUACUUUGAGCGGGGAGGAAGGGAGUAAAGUUAAAACCUUCGCACAUUGACGUUACCCGAACAGAAAGCACCGGCUAACUCCGUG